rnacentral:rRNA from 1 species
UACGGGGGGAGCAAGCGUUGUUCGGAUUUACUGGGCGUAAAGGGCGCGUAGGCGGCGUGACAAGUCACUUGUGAAAUCUCCGGGGCUUAACUCGGAACGGUCAAGUGAUACUGUCGUGCUAGAGUACAGAAGGGGCAACUGGAAUUCUCGGUGUAGCGGUGAAAUGCGUAGAUAUCGAGAGGAACACCUGCGGCGAAGGCGGGUUGCUGGGCUGAUACUGACGCUGAGGCGCGAAAGCUAGGGGAGCGAACGGG